UACAGAGGUCUCAAGCGUUUGUUCGGAUUCAUUGGGCGUAAAGGGUGCGUAGGCGGCGCGGUAAGUCGGGUGUGAAAUCGUCGGAGCCUUAACUCCGAAACUGCAUUCGAUACUGCCGUGCUUGAGGACUGGAGAGGAGACGUGGAAUUUACGGUGUAGCGGUGAAAUGCGUAGAUAUCCGGAGGAACACCAGUGGCGAAGGCGACUACCUGGCCUGUUCUUGACGCUGAGGCGCGAAAGCUACGGGGAGCAAACGGG
rnacentral:rRNA from 1 species